rnacentral:rRNA from 1 species
UGGCAUGCGCGAACCUGACGCAGCACGCCGCGUGCGGGAAGAAGGUCUUCGGGUUGUAAACCGCUUUCAGCAGGGACGAAGGCAACUGGGUUAAUAGCCCAGAAGUUGACGGUACUUGCAGAAGAAGGUCCGGCUAACUACGUGCCAGCAGCCGCGGUAAUACGUAGGGACCGAGCGUUGUCCGGAAUCAUUGGGCGUAAAGAGCGUGUAGGCGGCUCGCUAAGUCUUGCGUGAAAUCUCGGGGCUCAACCCCGAGCGGUCGUGAGAAACUGGCGGGCUAGAGUGCGGGAGAGGAGAGUGGAAUUCCUGGUGUAGCGGUGAAAUGCGCAGAUAUCAGGAAGAACACCCGUGGCGAAGGCGGCUCUCUGGAACGCAACUGACGCUGAGACGCGAAAGCGUGGGGAGCAAACAGGAUUAGAUACCCUGGUAGUCCACGCCGUAAACGAUGGACGCUAGGUGUGGGCGGUGUCGACUCCGUCCGUGCCGAAGCUAACGCAUUAAGCGUCCCGCCUGGGGAGUACGGCCGCAAGGCUAAAACUCAAAAAAAUUGACGGA